rnacentral:rRNA from 1 species
CGUAGGGUGCGAGCGUUAAUCGGAAUUACUGGGCGUAAAGUGUGCGCAGGUGGCUGAGCAAGUCGAGUCGUGAAAUCCCCGGGCUUAACUUGGGAAUUGCGCUCGAAACUACUUGGCUCGAGUGUGGCAGAGGAAGGUGGAACUCCAGGUGUAGCGGUGAAAUGCGUAGAGAUCUGGAGGAACACCGAUGGCGAAGGCAGCCUUCUGGGCCAACACUGACGCUCAUGCACGAAAGCGUGGGGAGCAAACAGGAUUAGAUACCCUGGUAGUCCACGCCCUAAACGAUGAUGACUAGUUGUUGGGGGAGUUAAAUCCCUUAGUAACGCAGCUAACGCGUGAAGUCAUCCGCUUGGGGAGUACGGUCGCAAGAUUA